CCGGGACCAUCCGGUAAGGCUAAAUACUCCCGAGAGACCGAUAGCGAACCAGUACCGUGAGGGAAAGGUGAAAAGCACUUCGAACAGAAGAGUGAAAUAGUUCCUGAAACCGUGCGCCUACAAGCGGUCGGAGCUCGUUAAUGAGUGACGGCGUGCCUUUUGCAUAAUGAACCUACGAGUUGCCUUUGCCGGCAAGGUUAAGUGUGACGACACACGUAUCCGAAGCGAAAGCGAGUCUGAAUAGGGCGUAUAGUCGGCAGUGGCAGACGCGAAACCAAGUGAUCUACCCUUGGCCAGGUUGAAGGCUGGGUAACACCAGCUGGAGGACCGCACCAAUAAGCGUUGAAAAGCUUCUGGAUGAGCUGAGGGUAGGGGUGAAAGGCUAAUCAAACUUGGAGAUAGCUCGUACUCCCCGAAAUGCAUUUAGGUGCAGCCUUGCGGGUUACUGAUGUGAGGUAGAGCGACUGAUAAGAUGCGAGGGCUUCACCGCCUAUCAAGUCUUGACAAACUCCGAAUGCGCAUCAGUUCUACCGCAGGAGUGAGGGCAUGGGUGCUAAGGUCCGUGCCCGAGAGGAGAAGAAUCCGGACCACCUGCUAAGGUCCCGAAAUGACAGCUAAGUUAAACUAACGAAGUCUGACUGCUAAGACAGCUAGGAUGUUGGCUUGGAAGCAGCCAUUCAUUUAAAGAGUGCGUAACAGCUCACUAGUCGAGGAGUCGGGCGUGGAUAAUAAUCGGGUAUUAAGUUGUCUACCGAAGCAGUGGGAUCAUUAAUAUGAUCGGUAGGGGAGCAUUCCAGUCAGCGUCGAAGGCGUACCGUGAGGUAUUCUGGAGCGUCUGGAAAAGCAAAUGUAGGUAUAAGUAACGAUAAAGGGGGCGGGAAACCCCCUCGCCGAAAGACUAAGGUUUCCUGAUCAACGCUAAUCGGAUCAGGGUAAGUCGGGUCCUAAGGCUCAGCCGAAGGGCGAUGCCGAUGGCAGAAACGGUUAAUAUUCCGUUACUACCUCCAGGAGUGAUGUGGAGACGCAGUAGUGACAAUGCCGCCAUCUGACGGAAUAGAUGGUUGAAGGGUGUAGAUGUUGAUCUUGGCAGGCAAAUCCACCAUGAGAAUCGAACCUGAUAGUAUGCCGCGUCCCUCGGGACAAGGCAAUAGUGCAUGUAAUCAUGCUGCCAAGAAAAUCCGCUAAACUAAAUCCUGUAGGUACCCGUACCGUAAACGGACACACGUAGUCGGGAUGAAUAUUCUAAGGCGCUUGAGUGAUUCACGGUUAAGGAACUAGGCAAACUGACCCUGUAACUUCGGGAUAAAGGGUCCCUACCCGGAAACGGGAGGGCGCAGAGAAUAGGUCCAGGCAACUGUUUAACAAAAACACAGGGCUGUGCGAAAUCGAAAGAUCCUGUAUACAGCCUGACACCUGCCCGGUGCUGGAAGGUUAAGAGGAGACGUCAUCGUUGAGAGAAGCGUUGAAUUGAAGCCCCAGUAAACGGCGGCCGUAACAAUAACGGUCCUAAGGUAGCGAAAUUCCUUGUCGGGUAAGUUCCGACCUGCACGAA
rnacentral:rRNA from 1 species